rnacentral:rRNA from 1 species
UAGGGAAUCUUCCGCAAUGGACGCAAGUCUGACGGAGCAACGCCGCGUGUGUGAAGAAGGAUUUCGGUUCGUAAAACUCUGUUGUUAGAGAAGAACAGCGCAUAGAGUAACUGUUAUGCGUGUGACGGUAUCUAACCAGAAAGCUACGGCUAACUACGUGCCAGCAGCCGCGGUAAUACGUAGGUGGCAAGCGUUGUCCGGAUUUACUGGGCGUAAAGCGAGCGCAGGCGGUCAAUUAAGUCUGAUGUGAAAGCCCCCGGCUCAACCGAGGAGGGUCAUUGGAAACUGGUUGACUUGAGUGCAGAAGAGGAGGGUGGAAUUCCAUGUGUAGCGGUGAAAUGCGUAGAUAUAUGGAGGAACACCAGUGGCGAAGGCGACUCUCUGGUCUAUAACUGACGCUGAGGUUCGAAAGCGUGGGUAGCAAACAGG